ACUCCUUGUAAAAUUGUAACUGAGGCUGCGAAAAGGAAGCACAUAAAUCGACGCCAUUUUUCAACAGAUUAAGGUUUCUGAGCUCACGAAAUCCUACUAUUAUUACUUUUAAUGGUUAGUAGAAAGAUAUCAACAUUAUCCAUAACAUAAUUCAUUGAUCAGAUCGGGUUAUGGCUAUAUGUUUGCCUCUUUUAGGAUGCUGAAAUCCAUUAAAUUCCCCCAGACCACACGAAAUAAACGCCCCUUUCUCAGCCCGAGACUUCAAUUUUGAUUAAAACUUGAAUUUUGGCAUGUCAAUGUUAGCAUUUAUAAUUUUAAUUAAAUUAUUACGGUUGUGUUAAGCAUUUGUGCUGAUUUGUUUGGUUGUCUCUCAAAAUAGUAGAAUAGUUAAAAAUAGGUUAUUAAAUGGUUUAUAUUAUUAUUUUUUUGAACCCAAAAAGUGUGUGACAAAAAACAAAAACAAACAAAAUAAAAUUAUAGGAAAAAUAUAACAACUACAUAAGUAUAGUUUAAUUUUAUCCUAAACCUCUAUCCAUCAUUUCUUACAGAUAGUACAGGGUGAGGGUUCACAAAAUAGGGAACCAGGGGUGGAUACAGCCAUUUUGAAAAGGGGUUCCCUACCCAGGAUAAAGGGGGGUUCCAACUAAAUGUCCCCUUUCAAAUGCAUUGAUUGUCCAUAAAAAGGGGAGAUUCCAAUCCCGGAACCCUAUCCCUGGAUCCGCCACUGGGAACUAUGGCUAAAAGUAUAAAAAAAAAUUGGAGAACUAUGACUAAAGGAACAAAGAAUAGAGAAAAUUGACUGUAAUAAGGAAUAGAGCAAAUGACAUGCUAGUCAAAAUAAUAUGACGUCUGACAAGGCUAUUUUAUUUUUUAUCUGGGACGCCUUCCUACGCAUCCCAGAAAAAAAUUAUAAAAUAUCCUAGCCAGACGUCAUAAUAUUAUUUGAACUAUUGAUGUGCUAAUUUUAUAUAUUGAGAAAAGAGAAAUGAUGGACAAAAAGUAUAAAAAAAAUAGAGACAAAUGAGCGUAAAGAAUAAAUGAUAAAGUAAUGGAAAACACCCCAUCCAGACCCUUGUUUAUCUGAACAACAGAACUAUUAUUUUUGCUGAAUAGUGCAUAUAGGCAUUUCCCAUUUGAAUGGUUUUACAGUAGUAAUUUUAGGGCCCUUUUUAGCUUGUUGUUCGGUGUGAGCCAAGGCUCCGUGUUGAAGGCCGUACAUUGACCUAUAAUGGUUUACUUUUAUAAUUUGUUAUUUGGAUGGAGAGUUGUCUCAUUGGCACUAACACCACAUCUUCCUAUAUCUAUGUAAAAUAUCUUUUAAAGAUUUCAGGUAUAUGAAAUAUUAACCAGUAGGACAGUAUAAAUUCUGUCCCUCCUUCCAUGCAAAAAAAAACAAAUUAUGUGAUUUAUUGUUGAAUUUUAUUGCCACAUUCAGUAUUGGCUAGGUGUUGUGGCCAGGUUUUAUUGGUGGUGGAUACAUUUAAUAUCUAUUACUGGUAUGAAGAAUUUAAGAUAUGAAUGAUUGAAUGAAAAGUUACCUUUUAAAUAACAGAUACAUGUAAGAUAAUUUAAUGUUGCAUAUUAAGUUAAUACUUUAUUUAAACAUUAUUUAAUAUACCUAUUAAAAAGAUUGAUAUGUUAUUAUGUUGAUGGAUUUAAGAUAUUGAAGUAAAUGAAUAAAUAAAUAGAAAAUUUGUGUUGCUGUAUAUGAUUAUUAACUUUUCUUGAUGGAGGGCAGGACUUUUUCGGGACGUUUGGAUUGGGUGUUUUUAAGCUCAGGAUUUUCUUUCGUGAUUUUUUUUUUAAAAUUUGGGACCUCAGAAGAUCAUGUUUUUAGCCCGGGAUUUUGGGAUCAGGACCCCUGCAACAUCCCCCACCUCCUUCUUUGACAUAUAAUAUAAAGUCAUUAAAAAUAAUAUCAAUUAUUUACAUCAAAAGUCUAAAAUAAUUUCUUUAUUUUUGUUGAAUCAUAUAAACCUCCUUUUGAUUAUUUAAGAUUAAAAUAAGAAGGAUUUCAAUUUAAAUGAAAUGAUAACAAACAUCUGAAAACAAUCAUAGUAUAUACAUUAUGAGAUUUUCUCAUGUUUAAAGGCUUUCAUGUAGCAAAAAAAUGCCUAUAUAUCCACUCCAAAUGAGUAUUUUGGGAUAGUUGUCUCAUUGGCAAUUAUUCACAUCUGAUUAGUUUUCCAUUAGUAAAAUUCAAAUAAAAAAAACAUUCAAUUCCAAUUUAAAUGUGAACCUUCUCAUUCUUGGACCACAUAGAAAUUUGUAGACAAUUAAAAUAUAUUAUAAUUUCAUAUAUAACAACUGUAGAAAAGUUCGAAAUUAUUUUCAUUUGAUAAUAUCAUCUGCAUAUAUUAUAUAUUUUCAGAUAACAAUAGGAAUAAGAAGAGCAGGAUUUCUAUUUUGAGGAUUUACAUGUAUGGGACAGAGGACUAUUUGACUUGAUUUUACUUUUAACUUGGACUUUUUAACAAUAAUACUCUUAAAUUAUUUAAAAUAUUUUAUACGUAUGUUUCAUUUUAACAUUAUUUUUAUGACUGUAUUUAUUUAUCAUUUAAUAAACGUUUAUUUCUAAACAUUUUUAUAUUUUUAAAUAUACAAUGUGAAACACUCAACCAUUUUAUAUUGAUAACGUGGGGUAAAUGUACAUGAGACAAUAAUGCUGUUGCAAUACAAUAAAACUUAUUGUCAUUGAAAAACCUGAGAUUCAUAGAUGCAAAGCUAGCAUAUUCAUAGGGGUCCCCUUUUGUGGUUGAUUAAAUAGGGAAUCACUGGAGCGGGCCCCUCUUAAGUCAGUCAGCAGCCCCCUAGAAAAAGUUCUGGAUCCGUCACUGAUAUCAGGCAUAUACAUGUAUGUACUGUAGUAUUUG
rnacentral:lncRNA from 1 species